rnacentral:piRNA from 1 species
UCUUGAGUGAGCAAGAAAAGC